UACGAAAGGUGCAAGCGUUACUCGGAAUCACUGGGCGUAAAGCGCACGUAGGCGGACUCGUAGGUCAAUUGUGAAAUACCUGGGCUCAACCCAGGAACUGCAGUUGAAACCGCUUGUCUUGAAUACCUGAGAGGGUGGGGGAAUACCUGGUGGAGAAGUGAAAUUCGUAGAGAUCAGGUGGAACACCGGAGGCGGAGGCGCCUGCCUGGCAGUGUAUUGACGCUGAGGUGCGAAAGUGCGGGGAGCAAACAGG
rnacentral:rRNA from 1 species